rnacentral:rRNA from 1 species
GUGCCAGCCGCCGCGGUAAUACAGAGGGUGCGAGCGUUGUCCGGAAUCACUGGGCGUAAAGGGCGCGUAGGUGGCCCGACAAGUCACUGGUGAAAGCUCGACGCUCAACGUCGAGUCGGCCAGUGAUACUGUUGGGCUGGAGCACUGUAGAGGCUCAUGGAAUUCCGGGUGUAGCGGUGGAAUGCGUAGAGAUCCGGAAGAACACCGGUGGCGAAGGCGGUGAGCUGGGCAGUAGCUGACACUGAGGCGCGACAGCGUGGGGAGCAAACAGGAUUAGAUACCCUGGUAGUCC